rnacentral:rRNA from 1 species
AUUAGAGUUUGAUCAUGGCUCAGGACGAACGCUGGCGGCGUGCUUAACACAUGCAAGUCGAACGAUGAACCACUUCGGGUGGGGAUUAGUGGCGAACGGGUGAGUAACACGUGGGCAAUCUGCCCUGCAGCUGGGACAAGCCCUGGAAACGGGGGCUAAUACCGGAUAUGACCACUAGGGGCAUCCCUUGGUGGUGUAAAGCUCCGGCGGUGCAGGAUGAGCCCGCGGCCUAUCAGCUUGUUGGUGAGGUAACGGCUCACCAAGGCGACGACGGGUAGCCGGCCUGAGAGGGCGACCGGCCACACUGGGACUGAGACACGGCCCAGACUCCUACGGGAGGCAGCAGUGGGGAAUAUUGCACAAUGGGCGAAAGCCUGAUGCAGCGACGCCGCGUGAAGGAUAAGGCCUUCGGGUUGUAAACCUUCUUUCAGCAGGGAAGAAG